GUUGAAGCAACUAAGUUUCGGGUACAGAUAGAGCGGGAAUCUUUGGUUUGAGCGAAACUGCCCUACUAAGAUCUAUAAAAGAUGAAAAAAAUCUCUUUUCAUAGAUCUUAUGAGCUCGCAGGCAUUGGAACAAGGUGCAUAGUCAUUUAGUAACCCCCUUGUUACCGAUUCGUAUUUCUGGAUAACAGUGUUGGGGUUGUCUCCCGACAUGCUUUCUGUAUCCAUUAAAUAGGAAAAAGCAAUCUCUGAAUCUUGAGCCUUGGAAUAACCCGUCGCAUCGGAACCUGUACUUUGAUGAUAGUCAUAGGGACCCUGUGAAGUGCCGCUGUCCUUAUGACUAUCGCUCUUAGCUGCAGCCCUACCAGGUAUGUUAGUUUGUAUCUUGUUUCUCCCGCUUUGGCGUAACUCCUCGCGAUGCCUAUAGCAAGGUAGUCAGCAAAUCGGACAUAAUAUAUGUCUUGUUCUCUGCACAUGGACAGGGCGAACACAUCUAAGCGAUGAAGGACUACAUUCGUAGGAAUGGGGAAUAGUACUGCGCCGGAGACCAAUCCCGUUGUUUGGAAAGGUUGUUCCGUCAGCUGAUUCACCAGGGGCUGUAAGCGUAGGUCUUUUUGAAUUGGAUCCAAGAAGAUAGGAUCAUCGAUCUGUUCUGCCAGUAAAUCCAAUAGACGCUUAUGAUCUACAUUACAUGGUCGAAGCACUUUCGGACGUCAGCAUGUACUAAUCGCUCCACCGCACUCCACCCCCACCCCUAGCCAUAAAAGCUUCGAGGGAAAGACCUUUUUUUCCGUAAGCUACUUGACUCCACUGAAGAGUAAAGUGCAAACAAGAAGUGUUGUAGCAGCUAUAAGAAAGUAGUUCCCUCAGGGGCUUCCCCUUCGGGGGAUUAGUUAGAGGACUUCCCUCCGGGGGUAAGAACUACAAAGCGUUCGGCUCAGGACUCUGUAAAGGGAGUCCCGAGCCUCUCUCCACUUGAAGGAAGUUGGUUACAUCCAGUUGGAAAAGAUUAGGGUUAUCGUAAAUGAUCAAAGAAAGUGUUGCAUCGCUCUCGAACGUUUUUGAGGUGUACCGAAAGUGACUCCCCACGAGCUCUAGCGCCCUAGGGCGGACUCACUAUGGCUUUUCGAGAGCAGCAGGAAGGUUGAUAACGCAUGCCAAGCGAUCUCAAUCCUCCAUGCUAUAAUGCAACACACGAGAAGGCUGUGGUACUCGAGGGCUCUACGAGCGCCUAUCUCAGGUGAAGUAUGCAUCAGAUCUCAUUUCUCGGGCUGGUUGGACGGACAACAAAACAGUGGCUUUUGCUGUCAUAGUAGGGGUCAUCGCUCAACGUAUCGCCUUGGGAGAGUCGCUUACAGAGAAGGGAAUCUUUUUGACUUAGCCCAACAAUGAAAAAAGUGAGGCACUGUCAAGUGAGGAAGGAAAAAUAGAAUAGAGGGAAUGAUUUAUCUAUAAAGUACUUAGUUUCAACAAAAAGAAAAAAGUAACUAAAGGCUUUGGGCUACUCCCUUUGCUUUGCCGCCCCAACUCCCCUCUAUUCUUUUUAGGACUCAUGGCUCGCCCCUAUCUUUAGAGAGAGGGGCUUGAAAGACCGGAACAAAACUACCAUUUAUUCUUGGGUGGACCAACCAAGCAACUCCAUAGCGCGCUAGCUGAUCUACGACCAAAGAAGCAACGGCGCGUUAGCACGCGCAUCUUCUUCUUGCUUGCUGGGGCGCGUUAGCGCAUCCGUUUUCUUUGCUGAGUGCGCUAGCGCGCCUAGCGCGAAAGCCGUUGCCUUGACUCUGUUAGGAGCGCAUCCGUUGCUUGUUGUCCUGGAGUUUUGCUGGGUCGUUAGAGAAGAGCGAGUUCAGUCGGAGUCUCAACUACCACUCCACGAGUGGAUUAGUUGAGUGACUAGACUUAGACUCUCUUUGAUAUCAAUCACUAAACUAAACAAAGUAGCAAAAAUCAUAAGAGAAGAAAUGUGAAGGAGUACGCCCGGUUCACCAGGUUCUACCACUGCAGGGCCCAA